AGUUAAAAAGCUCGUAGUCGGAUUUCAGUAUUAGGCCCUUCUUCCAAUACGGUUGCUAGUGGUCUUUACUUCCUUAACAGAAUCUUUCAUCUCAUUAAUUUGGGGUGUUUGGGACCUGUUUCUUUUACUUUGAGAAAAUUAGAGUGUUCAAAGCGGGUUUUCGCCUGGAUAUUACUCUUGGAAUAAUAAUAUAGGACUUUGGUUCUUUUUUGUUGGUGACUUAGAACCGAAGUAAUGAUUGAUAGGGACAGUUGGGGUCAUUCGUACUAUGAAGCGAGAGGUGAAAUUCAUGGACCUUUGUAUGACGAACUACUGCGAAAGCAUUUGACUAGGAUGUUCCCGUUGAUCAAGAACGAAAGUUGGGGGAUCGAAGACGAUCAGAUACCGUCGUAGUCUCAACCAUAAACUAUGCCAGCUAGGGAUUGGAGGAAGAUCAUUUUACGUCUCCUUCAGCACCUUAUGAGAAAUCAAAGCAUUUGGGUUCCGGGGGGAGUAUGGUCGCAAGGCUGAAACUUAAAGGAAUUGACGGGAGGGCACCACCAGGAGUGGAGCCUGCGGCUUAAUUUGAUUCAACACGGGAAAACUUACCAGGUCCGGACAUGGGAAGGAUUGACAGAUUGAAAGCUCUUUCUUGAUUCUAUGGGUGGUGGUGCAUGGCCGUU
rnacentral:rRNA from 1 species